rnacentral:rRNA from 1 species
UACGUAGGGUGCAAGCGUUGUCCGGAAUCAUUGGGCGUAAAGCGCGUGUAGGCGGCUCGGUAAGUCUGCUGUGAAAGUCCAGGGCUCAACCCUGGGAUGCCGGUGGAUACUGUCGAGCUCGAGUCCGGAAGAGGCGAGUGGAAUUCCUGGUGUAGCGGUGAAAUGCGCGGAUAUCAGGAGGAACACCAAUGGCGAAGGCAGCUCGCUGGGACGUGACUGACGCUGAGACGCGAAAGCGUGGGGAGCAAACAGG